AUCAGUGGCUCAAGAACGAACGCUGGCGGCGCGCCUAAUACAUGCAAGUCGAACGGGGAAAGCCUUCGGGUGAGUACUAGUGGCGCACGGGUGAGUAACACGUGGGUAAUCUUCCUCGAAGCGUGGGAUAACUAGUCGAAAGAUUAGCUAAUACCACAUAAGACCACAGGAUCUGCGGAUCCAGAGGUCAAAGUUUUUCGCUUUGAGAUGAGCCCGCGCAAGAUUAGCUAGUUGGUGAGGUAAUGGCUCACCAAGGCAACGAUCUUUAGCUGGUCUGAGAGGAUGAUCAGCCACACUGGAACUGAGACACGGUCCAGACUCCUACGGGAGGCAGCAGUAGGGAAUAUUGCACAAUGGAGGGAAACUCUGAUGCAGCGACGCCGCGUGAGUGAUGAAGGACUUCGGUUCGUAAAGCUCUGUCGUAUGGGAAUAAGAAAGUGAAUGUACCAUGCAAGAAAGGAUCGGCUAACUUCGUG
rnacentral:rRNA from 1 species